rnacentral:rRNA from 1 species
GACGUAGGGCGCGAGCGUUGUCCGGAUUUAUUGGGCGUAAAGAGCUCGUAGGCGGCUUGUUGCGUCGGCUGUGAAAACCCGCGGCUUAACUGUGGGCUUGCAGCUGAUACGGGCAGGCUAGAAUUCGGUAGGGGAGACUGGAAUUCCUGGUGUAGCGGUGAAAUGCGCAGAUAUCAGGAGGAACACCGGUGGCGAAGGCGGAUCUCUGGGCCUUACCUGACGCUGAGGCGCGAAAGCUAGGGGAGCAAACAGG